AGCGAACGCUGGCGGCAGGCCUAACACAUGCAAGUCGAACGAAGCCUUCGGGCUUAGUGGCGGACGGGUGAGUAUCACGUGGGAACGUACCUUUUGGUUCGGAAUAACGCAGAGAAAUUUGCGCUAAUACCGAAUGAGCCCUUCGGGGGAAAGAUUUAUCGCCGAAAGAUCGGCCCGCGUUGGAUUAGGUAGUUGGUGUGGUAAAGGCGCACCAAGCCUACGAUCCAUAGCUGGUCUGAGAGGAUGAUCAGCCACACUGGGACUGAGACACGGCCCAGACUCCUACGGGAGGCAGCAGUGGGGAAUCUUGCGCAAUGGGCGAAAGCCUGACGCAGCCAUGCCGCGUGAAUGAUGAAGGUCUUAGGAUUGUAAAAUUCUUUUACCAGGGACGAUAAUGACGGUACCUGGAGAAAAAGCCCCGGCUAACUUCGUGCCAGCCGCCGCAGUAAUAC
rnacentral:rRNA from 1 species